rnacentral:rRNA from 1 species
AGCGCGCGCAGGUGGUUUCUUAAGUCUGAUGUGAAAGCCCACGGCUCAACCGUGGAGGGUCAUUGGAAACUGGGAGACUUGAGUGCAGAAGAGGAAAGUGGAAUUCCAUGUGUAGCGGUGAAAUGCGUAGAGAUAUGGAGGAACACCAGUGGCGAAGGCGACUUUCUGGUCUGUAACUGACACUGAGGCGCGAAAGCGUGGGGAGCGAACAGGAAUAGAUACCCUGGUAGUCCACGCCGUAAACGAUGAGUGCUAAGUGUUAGAGGGUUUCCGCCCUUUAGUGCUGAAGUUAACGCAUUAAGCACUCCGCCUGGGGAGUACGGCCGCAAGGCUGAAACUCAAAGGAAUUGACGGGGGCCCGCACAAGCGGUGGAGCAUGUGGUUUAAUUCGAA